UACCAGCACCCCGAGUGGUCGGGACGAUUAUUGGGCCUAAAGCAUCCGUAGCCGGUUCUACAAGUCUUCCGUUAAAUCCACCUGCUUAACAGAUGGGCUGCGGAGGAUACUAUGGAGCUAGGAGGCGGGAGAGGCAAGCGGUACUCAAUGGGUAGGGGUAAAAUCCGCUGAUCCAUUGAAGACCACCAGUGGCGAAGGCGGCUUGCCAGAACGCGCUCGACGGUGAGGGAUGAAAGCUGGGGGAGCAAACCGG
rnacentral:rRNA from 1 species